UUUGGAAAUUAAGCAGGUCCAUGCAUGGUUAGUACUUAGCUGGGAGACUACCCAAGAAUGCAAGGAAUGUCCAGGC
rnacentral:rRNA from 1 species